AUACUUUAACUUUGAUUUUAUUUUCAUGUUUUUUAAAUAUUGGUGUUUUUGAAUGUGUUGUUUAAAUAACAUAAAAAAUAAAAUAUAUAUUGACAUGUAUUAAACAAAGAUAUAUAUUAUUUUAUGUUGUAUAAAUAAAUUGGCAAAAUAGAGAUGGAAGAUAAAAAUAUGGUCAAAGUAAUAAGAGUCUAUGGUGAAUGCCUAGGAA
rnacentral:misc_RNA from 1 species